rnacentral:lncRNA from 10 species
CAGCAUUUCCAUGCAGACUCCUCCCUUAUACCUGUUCUUCUUUCCGCACUUGGGACUCUGCCAGCACUUGGCAUUUAAUCAGCCACAGUGGAUUUAAGUGUUUCACUUGUGAGUGGCUUAUCUCCCACAUUACACUAGAUAUUCCUUGAGGGCACUGACCAGCCUCCUGCAUCCGUCCGUCAGCUUGGCCCAGCCACAGCUCUGUCUCUUCUUGGACUCCAAAAUGGUCCCCAGCUUGCUUCAGAGAGCUCACAGCCAAGAUGACAAGUGAGACCAUCAACCAUCAGUCCACUACCACCCUCAUAUCAUUGUUUUAUAUGUAUGAGAACCACCAUCAUCAUGGCAGUUACCUCCAAUUCAGCACCUUUUACAGAUCAUCACCAGGUAAUUCUACAUGCACUACCUCAUUUAUUCCUCAAAACAUCCUGAAGAAGGGGAAUUAUCCUUCACUGAUAUUCUCCAAGUGCCUGGGGCAGUGUGUGGCACAUUACAGAGGGUAACUAAAUUUUAAUUGAAUGACUUUGUUACAGGCAGUUAGACAGGCACAAGCCGCGCAGGAGAGGGCUCUCCCACCAUCCACUAGGAAUGUUGGGUGAUGGUUUGGUAAUGAUCACAUUCCCUCUCUAAAAUUUAUAAACUCGCAGCCAACACCAGAGACAGAGAUCAUUUCCUGAUGAUCCACACCUUUUGCACCAAAGUGUUAAUUGAAUGCAGGUGCCGGGGGAGACUGAGGCAGAAGAAUCGCUUGAACCCAGAAGGUGGAGGUUGCAGUGAGCAGAGAUCGCGCCACUGCCCUCCAACCAGGGUGACAGAGCGAGACUCCGUCUCAAAAAAAAGAAAAAAAGAAAAGAAAGAAAGAAAAGAAAAGAGACAAAAUGGCAGAGUCUGACCUUCGGACCUUCGGGGCACUCUGCUGGAAAAGCGAUGAUGGGCAUGUGCACCACUUCCUAAACACAUUGCGCAUGCUCACCUCCGGAGGCAGCUUCUCACUCAGCUGCCAUGCAUUGACUUCCCUGUUGAUCCAGCCUACUGCGGACCCAAAUAUUCCUGUUGCCAGAUAGGAGGGAUGAGUAAUGGAGACUCCAGUCCUCAGAGACCUUGAUCAAGUAAAGCAAAAACCCCUUCCUCCACUUUCUUUGCAAGUGGCUAAACCCUUAGUCACUCUGGGAAGAAAAGUAAACUGAAAACUUGAAAAAGUCCCAAGACAGAAUCUAACUCCAUCCCCUGCCCCAGAUAAAAAGCAAGAUAGCACAACUAUAGCAACCUUUUAAGUCAAAUUAAAUGAGCUAAUAAAAAUCAGGCCUGUUCAAGUGCCCAAUUGAUUUAAACAUGAAGAUUGUCAGUUUCCAGCAUCACUGAUUCUAAUCCAACAACCCUCACCAUAGAGGUCUUCAUUCAGCCUGCUGUGUUUGGAGGUUUUGCUUAUUGGGUGUGUAUCUGUAAGGUAAAUCUUGACGAUUUCCUUACUACAGACAAUUAUCUGGCUGGAGAUGUC